GUUGCAGUUGCAGUUUUCCACUGUUCUUUCUGGGCAGCAGUGACCCAUAUUCGCAGUAGAAUCAAGCACAGAAGAGUGGUAUAGAAGGCAGCCAUGGCAGAUAGAUACUAAUAAUCUUUAGCUGAGAGCUGAAGCAAGAAGACUUUGAGGGCUGGAGGCUGGACCCUUAACUCUAUAGUAAAGGUGGUAACUUUGUCAAAUACCCAACAGUAAUGUGACUAACGUCUAUAGACCAUAGUUCACAUUUGUGGGGAAGCCGGCACAUUCUGCGAGGAGAAGAAAGAGAAAUGAGGCGUGUUGGUCCACAACUGCACACCAUGGAAAAGAGUAAUGUUUUCUCUCUUUUCAUUCUUGCUUCUCCCUUAUGCUAUAGCUGAUAAGAAUUUUGAGACUUUAUUUUUGGAGGGUGGUGGCAGACAGACAAAGCAGAAAGCCCUAGAACAAGUAAUUAAGAAACUAGCUUUUAAUAUUUAUAUAUGGUUUAUGUUAUUGAGAUAUGUUUGUUUUUGA